AGUGAACGCUGGCGGUAGGCCUAACACAUGCAAGUCGAACGGCAGCACAGUAAGAGCUUGCUCUUACGGGUGGCGAGUGGCGGACGGGUGAGGAAUACAUCGGAAUCUACUUUUUCGUGGGGGAUAACGUAGGGAAACUUACGCUAAUACCGCAUACGACCUACGGGUGAAAGCAGGGGAUCUUCGGACCUUGCGCGAUUGAAUGAGCCGAUAUCGGAUUAGCUAGUUGGCGGGGUAAAGGCCCACCAAGGCGACGAUCCGUAGCUGGUCUGAGAGGAUGACAGCCACCCCGGGACUUAGGCACCGUCCCGACCCCUUCGGGGGGGCGCCGUGGGGAAUAUUUGACCAUUGGCGCAAACCUUAUCCAGCCAUACCGCGUGGGUGAAGAAGGCCUUCGGGUUGUAAAGCCCUUUUGCUGGGAAAGAAAAGCAGCAGGUUAAUACCCCGCUGUUCUGACGGUACCCAAAGAAUAAGCACCGGCUAACUUCGUG
rnacentral:rRNA from 1 species